ensembl:lncRNA
CCCCCCCCCCCCCCUGAAAAAAAAAAGUUUACAAGAAUCAAAGGACAUUAGAAAUGCCUUAGGGCUUUGUAAUAAGAUGAUGAUAUUGACCACAGCAAUGAAACCCCUCCCCAUUCCCCAAGGUCCUUCCUUACGCUCAUCAAGUCAGGAGGAGCAAACAUGAAAUAUAAACUCUAUUUCAGAGUGAUCAUUUUCUCUCUCAUUGUUUUGCUCUCUGGUUAAAAUUUUGGUUUUAUAAUGAGGAGACAAGGAUUACGUAUCAACUACUACGACAUUCCUGGCACAAACUUUGAGCAAUUCAACAUUAACACAACUAGAAAUUACAGUGCCCAGAACACAUCCCUUUAACGAUCAGUUUUACUGCCUAUGCUGGCUAUGGAUUCAGCCACUAGGUGUCUUCACUACUCAGAAUUACAACGCACAGAUCCAGUAUUUUGUCUUCAGUGGAAGUUUGGUGUGUGGGUGGAUAGUUAGACUCCAGCAGUUUUCUUUCUUAACUGUUUUUCCAGUUAUGCUGGUUUACAGUAUUUGUAAGGCUAUAUCCUUACAAACAUCUAUAUGAUACUCCCAAUCAUAUGGACUGUGCUAGGCUCUUCUAACAGUGAAAUUUUGGAAAGCUAUUCAAUUAUUUUCUCCAAAGUAUCACUUAGAUUUUUGUUAAAGCAUAAUAUACUCCUCUACUCUGCUCCCAUGAAACCCCACCUGUAGUACUGUGUCCAGUUCUGGGACCCCCCCAACGCAUGAAAGACACAGAACUGUUAGAGUGGGUCUCGAGGAAGGCCAUGAGAAUGAUCAGAGGGCUGGAGCACCUCCCCAUCAGGACAGGCUGAGAGAGCUGGGGCUCUUUAGCCUGUAGAAAAAGCAGCUCCAAGGAGACCUUAUAGUGGCCUUCCAGUACUUAAAGGUACUACAGGAAAGCUGUGGAGAGACUUUUUUUUUUUUUAAAGGGCAUGUAGCAACAGGACAAGAGGAAACAACUUUAAACUCGAAGAGGGUAGAUUUAGUCUAGAUAUUAGGAAGAAAUUCUUCAUUGUGAGGGUGGUGAGACACUGGAACAGGUUGCCCAGUGGGGUUGUGAAUUCCCCCUCCCUGGAGGCAUUUAAAGACAGGCUGGAUGGGGCCUUGAGCAACCUGGUCUAGAUGGGGGGCUGGAACGAGAUGAUCUUAAAGGUCAGUUCCAACCCAAACCAUUCUCUAAUACACGCAUUUUAAGAUAGAAACCAGGAAAGAAAAAAAUGCAGGUACAAAAUUCUAUUUGUAGCUGUUGUAUGUGCAUUAUAAGCAAAAGCAAUAGCUACUCUGCACAAAACUCCUGUUUAACUCUAGUUUGCUUCUAAUUUUAUGAAGAACCUCUACAUCUGCUCCUCAAAAAUUCUAACAAAUAUUGUAGAAACACUCAGAAAGCAAAAAAAAAAAAAGAACAAGGUAAUGCGUACUUUAAAAGAGCAGCCCGAAUCCAAAUCUAGAUUGCUUGUCUCUGUGUCACAAGAAGGCUAAGACUUGAAGAUAGUGCAGACUUGUAAAUUAAUGAAAAUUGAGACAUCUUUCUGAUCUCUAACCAGCUGCAAACAGCUGAUUUGUUUGGCUUCCUAAUUUUAAUCUAUGUAACUAAGGUUGAAUUAUAAUAAUACAUAAGAACUAAACAACUCUAAAAUAGUAUUUUGCAUUGUUUUUUUUGGCAUACUGCUGCUUGUGAAAUAAAAAUCUCAAAUGCAGAAGAACCAUACUAAAACAAUGUGCAGCUCUGUUGCAGAGUAAGCAGAGCCAGAGAAGUGUAAAAAAAUGUUUUACCCUGAAUUGCAGAGCAGUUCCGACAUGUCGCGAAACAACCAAGCAGUUCACAUUUCAGCUACACUGACACUAUACCAUAACCCACCAGAUUUUUGCAUGCUACUUUGCUUCCCUGCCCCUUUUCUCAGCAUUGUCUUAACACAAGAACUAGAAAAGGAAACGUUCAAAUACAUACCCUGGGUGAACCUAACAGGAUGCAAGAGGCCAUCUGAGCUGCACUUUUCAAACCCACAGGAAACCCUCCUCUACUAUGUCCCGAGAACAAAGCCUCCUCCAGUCAUGUUGAUAAGAUGGAUCUUGUUGUACAGCCUUCUAGUAAGGCUGGCUCAGAGCAACAAUCAAGAUUCUGAAAAGUCUGAAAACAUCACCACACCUUCAUCAAAAAUUUUAGAUGCCUCUACUAAGUCAAAAGAACAUGGAAAACACAAGACAUUGCACAUUAUUUAUGCUUCAGUACCCGUGGGUCUAUGUUGUCCAUUCAUCUUCAUAUGCGUGUUUUGGAGUCUAAGGAGGUACUAUGGAAAGCGUAAGAGAACUCCAUCAGCACCACAGAGACAAGAGAGCCGGGUCAGAAGGCUAUCAGCUCUUCCAUCCCACGCUGAUGGGACAACUCCAGAUACAGAUGAAAGCUCCUCACUUUACUGUUCCAUGUCUAGCCCACCUCAGCUCUUGCCUGUCAACAAGAUUUAUGACAGUGUUCCUCAACGUAAUGCUCAGGAGACAGCAUCUAACUCACCUUCUAAUGAUCCUUCCAUCCCAGCUUCACCUGAAAGCCAAGAUGUCCUCAUAUAUGCCUCACUAAACCAUUCUGCUUCUACAAAUAAAUACCAGAGAAGGAAGUUCUCUAUAGAAAAUGAAUUUAUAGAAUAUGCCUCUAUUAAGGUAAAUAAAUAAAUACGGCAGACUUCACCAAACAGCCAUUUUGUGUGUAUUCUCAGGUUUAUCUUCCAUCCAGAAUACCUUUCCUUUCUCUCCCGGGAAAGCUUUCCUUUUGUUUAGAAGAACCUGUGGAUGCUCCCCCACUACAGACAGGAAUUCAAAACACAGCCUGUGUCAUGCAGAUGGGUGGGUAAUUGCACUGGAUAUUCGUCUCUUAAAUGGAGGAAUAAAAGGAAACACAGACAGCUUUCCUGUUCUUCCUCUGCCCAGGAUUCUGCUUCCAGUCUGACCUUUUGUUGUGGUUUAAACAGAGGCAAAGGGGAGGAGAAGGGAGGGCAUUCUCAGGUCAUAAACAUAUAAAAGGAAUCCAUGAGGAAGACGAUACUGAGCCAAAUUAAUUCCUCCAAAGUAUAAAUAUGCUAAAUAUAAACAUACUAAAUAUGCCCGGGGGAGAAAUUUUCUCUGAGGUUCUAAGAACACCCUUACCAGGAUUCUGUUUCUCAUUCCAGUUCAUCUCCUUGCAGAGUUCCUUGAACACCAUGAACGCACAAUCCUUGUAUUAACUAAAAUCAUGUAAAUACUUUCAUUUGUUUGCUUCUUGUGGGGAACAGGCAAGAAAAUGGAAAAGGUUGUUUUCCUUUUAUUAAGAAGUCACACAAAUAACGUGUGAGAGUGUUCUCUUUUUUCCUCCUGGUGUGAUGACCGGUUAGCUAAGUUAAUGCAUAUUCCUUUUGUCCAUGAUGAGUCCAUGGAAAUAACAAAUGCUGAGCAGUGACUGAUCACAGACUGAAUAAAAACAUUCUGUUCAUGAGUAGCUGUGCACAACUGCGCCAGGCCAAGCUUUCCUCCCAACACUAGCACAAGAACAUGAUUAUGCUUCGUGCUCAGGUUUGUGGAAAAGAAGAUAAAAAGGAGGUAAGGACCAAAGUGUCAUUUGAACUUUGAGGAGAAUGCCUGUGCCCUUCUUCUGCUGCACUUAUUUCAUUAUAGUUUGGAUACUAUGCAUCUGCUCCUGCAGCGCAGUUGUCUGAAAAAUUACAUUUAGCAAUGUCUGCACCAAGAGGUUUGCAGAAGCAGAGAGUCUUCAACAUGGUUAAAAAUUCAGACUACAGUUGAAAAGGAAGAGUGGAAGUCCAGUUCUCAGCGUGCACAUAACGCACCAGAUGAUGUGCAGUUAAUGGAAGGAAGUCAAGCUUCUUCAUCUCUCACCCUUGCACAGUUCCAGUUAACACCAAAUUUUUUAUCAGAUACACAUUAACCCUGUCACGUUGAUAAAACAGAUCAUUUGUUAUGCUUGUGGCACAUCUAUCUUCCACCCAUCGUGCACUCUACCAUGGACUCUGCCCCAGAACAAUGCCCAUGUGAUUGACAGCCAAAGGAGGCCAAGCACAGCUGUGAGAAGUACUGCACAGCCACCAGCUGCAAUGCUAGAGAAAUCUGAACAUGCUGUGUUCCACUCUCAGAUCAAGGCCGAACCAUGGCUUAAGAAGGGGUCCCCAGAGAUCAAGGUUUGGUUUGGAAGAUGAGAUUUCUGUAGGUAAACAGGAAGCACCUUGCCACCUCACCAUCAGAUGUGCCAGCACAGAAAAGCAAAGCACUGGAGCUUACAGUUGGUUCUUUUUUUCUUUUUCUUUUUUUUUCUUUUUUUCCUUUUCUUUCUUUUUUUUUUUCUUUUUUUUUCUUUUUAAAUCAAAACCACUGAAAGUCUAUGUCUUUUGAAGGAGGGAAACAAAAGGUGCUGACUGAAACUGCCAUUUAAGGCGCAACACCUGCCACUUAAGUUACAAAUAAUCCAAUCAGGUCAAGUGCAGCACCAGUUUUUGUAGUCUUCUGAAAGAAACAGAAAAGUUUUUAUUUCUGCCAGUGCAGUUAAACUGCUCAGUGGAUAGAAGGUCUGUGUACCACAGCUAGUGGGCGUGGUGGCAAUGGGUUGACAGUUGGACAAGAUGAUCUUAGCGGUCUUUUCCAACCUUAAUGAUUCUGUGAUUGAGUAAUUUCAAUUAAGGACUUGCACAUUCAUCCCAAUCACCCAGUGCCAUGCUCAGUGAUGUUACACAAGACAUCACACCUAACAGCAGUUGUGUUAAGGCCCAGUAGAUGGCCUUUGUACGCUGCAGAAAACAAAACAAGCUGGGACCUGCUUUGUGGGGGACAAAGCCUGUGCACCUUCUGUAAGACAUGGUCUGAUGACCUCCAGCUUUUACCAGGUGAUUUACUACUUCUUGAUUCUCUUUUGCUAUUUUUGUACUGAAUAUGUUGCACGUACAGUCAUAUACAGGAAGCCCAAAGAAUACAAAGCUGGGCGGCUGUCAGUUAGACACACCCAUCCACAGGGAAGGAAGAGAGUAAAGUCUGUGGAGCUGAAGGUCUGUUAAUGCACAUUACUAUGCUGCAUCACGAUCCAGCAGCAUUCUUUCUGUAUGGGAGGCAGAUGCAGCUGUGCUACCCAGUUCCUCCCUCCCAAAGUAACCUUAUGUGCACAGCACAUAAGCCUCUUACAAGCCUCAGUGGAAGGUGUGGGCUCUUAGGCCGUAAACACAUGAACUCUCCCAGUUUCACUUUCUUUGUUUAUACCCUCCACCUCUGAAUUUUGUUUGCUCAUAAAGCAAAAAUAAAGGUAAUCAUGUGAGGCUUACUCAUUUGCCAGCUCUUGGUCCCAAAAGUCUAUCAGAUGAGACUGCUCUUGGCAAACGACACACUUUGCUAUAUUGCCAGAUCGAACAACAGUUUGCCAAGCCUUGAUUCUCCAAUUAUCUGUUUUUGUAAUAUUUUCACCAACAUCACCACAAAUAUCCCGAGGCACAUUUUGCAUCAUAAGGUAAGCAGGCAGGGAGGUGAGCGCAGAAAGAAGAGUGACAGCUAUAGUUAUGUGAGAACUGAAGUCUGCACCUCUGUGAAAAAGGCAUUGCCUUGCAUCGCUUGGUUUCCUGCUGUUUCCCCCCUAUAAGAGUGUGCAGGCUGGAUGUGGCUCUGGGUAGCCUGGUCUGGCAGUUGGUGACCCCACCCAUGGCAGGGGGGUUGAAACUAGAUGAUCAUUAUGGUCCUUUUCAAUCCAGGCCACUCCAUGAUUCUAUGAUUCUACAAAAUGGUAAGAGUCUGCCCAAAACCCAAAGAAAUAUGGUGUACGUGGUGUUUGUUCCUUGGUUCUCCUGAGUCAUUCCCCUUAGGGCCUGCUGUGACUGAAUUGUAGGUACCGCUUCUUCCACCCUCUGGAAGAAGAGGGGUUGCACAGACUGAUGGUAACAUGGGAUGUUUUGAGAUACAGCACCAAGCCCCACACCACAACACGGCUGUCAGCUAGGACCUUCCUUCCAGACAACUGCUAAUGUUUCCUGGGUGUCCCUCCAACCCACAUCCUUGUAAGGAACACGGAAAACGGACCUAGAGCUGAGCCUUGGCACCAGCCCAAACCACCAGCCCAAAUGCACAAGAAGGUUGAGGGGAGAGGCAAGUUUCCAUUUCCAUGCCCAGCCUGCUCCCCACUCUGCUCCUUGCAGCAGGUUCCCCAUUCUGUGAUCUCCACAGCUCUGCUUCUGUAGCCCAUUUCUGAUCAAUAAAUGCCAUCCCAGGGAUAAUGGAAACCAGAGACAGGAAGAAGUGCUCAGAUGGUGCCAGGGGUGAGUCAGAAGCAGUUCUUUGAAAGCAGAAGAGGCAGAUCUGAACGGGUGCACAGAAUAGGGUUCCCAAGGAGGACCACCAGAGCCUAGAGGACAGCAGAGAUGGCUACAGAGCUCGAUAUGUAACCAGCCUCAUGCCCCUCAGUACUGAUAGUGAUUUGCAAGGUGAAGAACCCUUGGUUUUGAGUGAGUUUUAAGCAACAACUACUAUUUUCAAUGAAAAAACAAAAAGCCUAAAGAAAAAGAAAAUGCUUAGGAACUAGCUGAACUAAGCCCUCAGGCCUAAUGUUUCCAACUGCAAGCGUCAGUGGUAGUGGAAUGGUAUUAACAUCAUACAUAUCCUUUCAGUUUCACGUAGGAAUGUAAAAAGGGCAUGGGAAGAUCACCUAACAACAGCAAGUCACUACCUAGCCUGAACACUAAUUUCAAAAUCUUAUUCUCCUCUCUCCCUUCCCAUAAAGACACACAUCUCCAGAAAUCUCCAUGCUAUAAUGGCAUGGAGCUGUGUCAGGGGAGGGUCAGGUGGGAGUUAGGGACAGGCUCUUCACCAGAGGGCAGUGGGGCCCUGGAACAGGCUGCCCAGGGCAGUGGGAAUGGCUCUGAGCUGCCACCAUUCUGGACGCCAUUCUCAGACAUUGGGUUUGGAUUUUGGGUGGUCACAUGUGGAGUCAGGAGUUGGACUCAGUGAUCCUCAUGGGUCCCUCCCAGCUCAAGACAUUCUAUGAUUCUAUGAUUACUGUAGUAGAAUUAAAGAAAUGGGGGGGGAAAAAAAUCAAUACUGGAAACACCAAGAGACUUAGCUUCUAACUAUUAUGAAUCUUGGUCUGUGAAACAGAGGACUGCAUAUUAUAACAACCUUGUAUAGUGAAUUAUACACGUUUUGUGUCAUUGAUUUUAGUCUUUAUAUUGAGAGGAUAUUCACUUGGUCACCUGAAAUUUGGAGCACAAAAUAUGCUGGGCAUGAAACGUCAUCAGCCGUACCUGAGAAUCUGCGAGUGAUCAUUUUCUACCAGUUCUAGAGUAACAUUUCUGCCUUAAGUUAGUGAUGUGGCAGCUAGGUUUAUAUCCAAGUGGCUUUUACUCACAGGUAAACCAAAUUUUCUUUGCAGAUGAGAGCUUCUUAUUAAUAACCAUCCUUUACUUCUUUCUAUCCGUAAUUGUGGAUAAUAAUAUCUUCUGUGGACUACUUGCCCCUCCCAGUUGGGGUAGUAUCCAUAGGAAAGCACAUCUACUGCAUGCAGAGCAUUUCCCCAAGCAGUCAGACGCACUGACAUGCAUCUAAUGACAGAAAGAUGGAACUGUGACCAUGUUUCAUUAAGUCUCAGCACCAUUCACUUCAGCAUGGCCAGCAUCCAUGCAGCUACUUCAUCUGACACCUGCCUGUGAGUAAGUAUGUAAGUCUUACAGUUAGCUGUUCCUCAAGCACAGCUUAGGAUAAUCAUAAAACCACUGCUCAGAUUUCUGGGUGUAGUCUCACGCUUAGCAGAUCACAUUUGUUUUCUUUCCUCUAACCUGUACUAGAACAAUUUCAGCCUUGGUAAAGAUAGGUUUGUUGACCUUCAGUGUGCACUGAGAAACUCACCUAUCUUUUGGCAUUUCUGAAUUACAGGAAGGAUGGUGAAGCAGAGGCAACACCUGCUAAAUCACUCUCUUCCUUUUCAAAGCUGUUUAUUACUAAGAAAUCUCCCACCUAAACUACAUAUUCCGGAUCUAACACCAUUCUUCUGCAUUUUCACAAAUUCUGCAGAAAGGCCUAAAACAUUAUGGAAGUAUCAUUUCCUUUACAUUUUAUAACAUAAGAUAAAAUAGAUUUAGCUUUCUUUGUUCAUGCCUUAGUCAUUGACAGCCAUGGUUUUCUGAAAGAAGUGGUAACUUCAGUAGAUCCUCUAUCUUCUCAAGAAAUUCAUGAAGCCUCUGUCAUAGCAGGAGAGUGGGAAGGAAAACUCAACUUAUGAAGACUGUGGUUACAUUAGCACUAUCAGUGCCCCUGUUGGGGGUGUCACAGUUGCCUACCUUGGUUGGUUAUCUUUCUCAGAGGCUGAAAAACCUGGUGAUCCACUAAGUUUCCUUUUCUCUGUAGUCUGGCAGCAGACUCCACUAAAACACUAGUCUCAGAUUACAAGUAAGUGAUGGGAAGUAAUGCGUGCUUUGAUUUUAGACACCCACUUUUCUCGAUGAAACAAAGGUUGAACAGAAACAGCAUUUGGUGCCUGUGCAAUGCUCUCAUCUUCCAGUUUGGUUUCUCUUCUCUCUUGGAAAGACUUCGGAGCUGUAAGCCUGCGAAACAGAAACAAACGACAAAACAGACAGGAAAAACUGUGAAAGUACUCUGGCUGACCUCACAUUAAGGAAGAGGGUGCCAAGAAACAAACUCAGAAGUGAACAAAAGUAGAGGAAGAAUUCUUCCCUGAAAUCCUGUAGAACUCAUGUUUCUUUGCAGUAGUUGCCUAGUGAUGUAGCCCUCGCUGAAGCACAGAGUUUCACAGAGAUAUGCAAGCUGAUAAGUGCACAGGGAGAGAUUUUAACUGUGUCAGACAGAGGUGUAAGUCUUCCUUUUCUGCUCUUCUGAGGAGUUUUGCAGCAUCUCAGUUUGUAAGAGAAUACUCGGUAUCAGAAUUAGCACAGCUGCCUCUUUCACCAGCACAGAAAGCUCUGGGAACUUCUUCCCUAGUAAAAAAGAGAAGAAACAUAGCUCAUUCUUGAAGUAACUGUCGUAACACAUAGCCCAACGUGCACAAAAAUGAACUCAUUUCAUAUCUAGGAAAUGUGGGCAUUAAUUGCUUGGAAAUUAGACUAUUUCUGGCUAUCAGUUCCAAUAGUGAAACAAAACUGCCUUCCUGAAAGCCAUACACACACAUUCCUGGCUCUUACACUAAGUAUGAUACAUCUAUUCCUGAGAAAGUCACUGAGGCCUAUGCUUAGGAUCUCAUAUCUCAGUGGCAAGGGGCCCUCUGGCCAGCACUCCGGCUGGAGUCAGCUUUAGAAGCACAUGAGGAUGCUCAGGGCUGGGUGCUUUUUAACACUACAUCUUUAAAUCUCCAUCUGUAAAAUUAAGGAAAUCACUUAUUUUAUAGAGUAAAAGAAAAGAGAAAAAAGCAUAGGAAAGAACACGUGACCCAAUACUGAGGACACUGCAAGCAAUGCUUUCUCUAACUUGUUUUUCAAGACUUUUGGUGAUGGACAUUCCUUUGUCACUCAAGUUCAUCUAUUCAGCAUCUUAUCAUGACAACAAAUAGAGACUUUUCCUAUCAUUUAGCCAAGAACUUAAAGCCUCUUACUGUAUUUCAAGCUGGCGCAGAGGACAUUUACUGCUAUCCUCUCUACAGGUAUGCAUUUGAAGACAUUACAUCUCACUCUAGACUAAGUGACCCCAGAUCUUUCAGCCCACCCUCAGACCCACCAACAAGCGUGCUUCUGUUCUCUGCGCUCUCAGAUUGUUUGAUGAUGUUCUUCAGGCACAAUGCCUGAAAACCCGAAGUUGCUACCUUUUAAGAACCUAUCUCUCUGGGUCUGCGAACAUCUCUCAAGUAAUUCCUUAUUUAUUUCAUCCAUGCUAGAUAAAAGACUGUGAAUUCAUAGAUUUAGAAACAGCAUUCUUGCUCCAGAAAACAGGUAUUACGUUAGCGAGCUUUGACUAUAGUAUAUAAAAUCAAUUUUAAAGCCAUAACCUCAGUGGAGGUACGGGCUGAGAAAAUCCUUUACACAGAGAAAAGCCCAUUUGCAAUGAAUAUGUGUUUAUUUUGGCAGGAGUUGUGACAAUCCUGAGCUGCUAUGGGCAAGAGGUCCUUGUUCUGGCCACAACAGUCCAUGACCUCUCCACCUCCUGGCAGGUGCAGUAAACACCUGUGCCUUGAACACCUGCAUGCUGACUCUUCACAGGCAGAUGUCCCGUCCCCAGGGAGGUGCCAGAUGCCACCUUGAAGUGAGCAGGGGAAACCACCUGCCUUUCCAUGCCUCUGCUGCUAGAUGUGCUGAUUUUGCUGGGAGUGGAGAGCUGGAGGAGCAGAAGACAAUACAAAUUAACAAGACACGUCCAUCUCCUGUUUUUGCUUUAUCUCAUUACUAUGAAGGGUAAGGUGGAAAGUACCUGGCUCAUAAAGAACACAAUUGUCUUUCAUUUUCUGCAUGGGUGGAACUUUUGGAUUAGUGUGUCUAAGCACUUUAUUUCUUCUGGGAGCCCUUCUUACAGCAUUAAAAACCCUGAUAAUCUGAAAUGGCUUGCAAAAACAACACCCUGGAGACUGAAACUGGGCUGGAUUGCUUUCUGUAUACAGUGAAUAGGCAGCACUGAGUGUCAACGGCUGAAUGCAGAUCAAAGCCCUCCCAGGAAAACAAAAAAUAAUACACUUGAAACCCAUUCAGCGUACCACAAGUGUAGACAAAGAACAACUUAUUCAGCUCCAGUGAAUGGGUAAAUAGGAGACUGAAGUGUUAGGCCAACCCACUUACCUGCAUUUGUGAGUCAGAUUUCCUCAUAUAAUAUGCAACAGCAUCCAAGUUCACCAUCUUAGACUAAUAGUUAUCACCACAUAGUUAGGUGAGGGUAAAGUCUCACUCAAAAGGGCAGGACCGCUGGGGUCGCUUGGCUAGGAGAGGGCAGAGUGCUUGUAGUGCUUCGCCCAUUUUUCCCCCAGAGCACACAGCAUCCUGCCUCUCUUCUGACCAUCCUUUCUAAUGCCACAAACUGCUGAGCAGAAGACUGGCAGAACACUGACCACUAGGUGGCAGGAAGCGGCAGGGAGUGGGCACCAGCUGGCUGGAUCCCCAUCUCUCCCAGCUUUGUGAUCGCCAAGCGGUCCCCAUCUGUCUUCAUAAAUUCAAUGGGUGCAACUCCUAUCCAAGCUCAGGAGCAACCCCCACUACACUCAGCAACCCUCAACAUUAUUUUCCUCUUUCUCUCUCUCUUUUUUUUUUUGUGGCGGUGUGUGGGGAAGAUAUUUGGGGUAUUUCUUUAGUCUGGCUUUGUGUUCUCAUACUGCUCAAAAAAAGUCAUGACACUCAUUUUGAGGUGGCACUGAAGUGUGGCACGGCAGCCAUGCAUGGACAGAGCCUGAUCUUUUGGGGAAGAGUGGGUGCUUUUCUGCAGUUCUUUGGAAGACAGGAUGACGUGCCACCACCAAAAGUGGUUUUCAUUGAUUAAGAACAAAACAGAAGCCAUGUUCCUUAAAUUAUAUCCUCAGUUGCUCAUUCUUUUGUGCCGCCUUCUCCUUCAGGGCUGUAUGUCCAAAGAGAAAAGCCCAGAAAACUGUUAAAGUUUCUGGGCUAGACAAGUUUACUCAGAUCAGUUUUUAGUACUAUAUGUUAGAGUAUCAUUUAAAUUUGAAUUUUUGACACAGUAGAACACCAAACAGACAGUGGAGACCAAUCCAUUUUACAGUAUGGAUUGAGUUUCAAAUCUUUUCUCGAAGCCUAUGCUCUUUAAUUACUCCAGUUUUAGUGAAAGUUUAGUGAAAGACCAUGUUUGAUCCAUUGAGCCUAGAUCCAGGACCAAAGAUCCUCAGUUCACAUUAAUUUGUAGACAUCCUUCUACAACAGUGAAUAAAAAUUGAGAGUACAGUUACCAUAAGCCACUGCACGAAGUAUCUGUUUCAGCCUCUCAGACAUAAGGGAGUAAAACUGUGCUGCAGUGUGGUCCCCAGGUGUUCAGAGGCAGCAGUGAGUACAGUGGAUGAGAGGAAGGAGCCAGCAUGAAAAGUGGAGGAAUCUCCUCUGUGAUGUAAAGCAGAGUCACCUUCCUCCUGCUGAGCUUGAAGGUAGAAGUAAAGGGAAACCAAAGAUCUGUAAGACUACAAAGCUUCAGUCUACUCAGGCUCCCAUUCCUCUGAUCCCUGUAGCAUCUGCACCACGACCACAGACUUUCAGACAAACAGGGAAAAGGAGGAUGUGUCUGACAUAACAGUUUUCAUAGCAGAUAAAAGUGAGUACAGAGGUUAGUGGUGGUGGGAGCCUGGAUCCCAGCUUUCUCUUUUGUCACACAGAAAAACAUUUCAGUUACAGUUUGUCCCCAGCGUACCUCAGGAUACACUCUUCCUGAGAAGAACUCCUGGUGGACAAACCAAAAGGAAGAAAAUUAAUGAUAAAAGAGUAUUUUUAUGGUAUUGUGUCCGUCUAAGCAAAGAACACUCCCGGGUAGCGGAAGCAAGUGGAGCAGAGGCCAUUGCAACUCCUAUUAACCCCUUUCCAUCAUGAAAAAGGAUAAUUCCUUUAUAAUAUGUGUGGGCAGGGAAGCUACAUUCCCAGGCCUGAUUUACUGUUAGAGCAGCUCUUUUAAAGGCACUGAAAGAGAACCAUGAGAAACACACAAGUAUCAGCGUGGAGAGCAAAGGAAAGCCAUACCAAAGCUUGAGCUAUGACUUCUCGCCUUCCUUAGCCAUAGACAGAACUACUGCCAUAGCCAUCAGAGCAACAUCCACAAAGUCAAAAGAUGACUUAAUGCAAGCCCUUUUUUUACAAAUUACAGAAAUAACGGUGAAAAAGGUGAAAAACAAGGAAGAAAGGAGAUGAAGAGAAGAAUAUUUACUCCAGGUACACCAGGCAGAUCAGUGCAAGCACAGGAAAGGGGGGCCAAGCCUUUGGUUUGUAGUGGGCGUUUCAGAUCAGCAGGAGAGCUGAGAAGGACUGCAACAUGAAAGAUCCCACCCUGCAGUUACUACUCUGAUUCUCAUAAAAUGCCUUACCCAGAGGACUGCCACUGCAAAACGCAUGAAGUACAACUUUCCAUGAGCAGAAAAUAUACUUAACGCUUUUCUUCUGAAGAACAGAAAAAUAAACAUGCUCUAUGACAGGGCCUCAGAGGACUGCAAUUCGCCCAAAUACAAAUGAGGAAGGCUUAUAAAUUUAAGCCUGGAAGUUUUAACAAGAUGUCUAAAAUCAAUCUUCCUAACAUUCUCAUUUUUUUUUCCCAUAAAUAGACAUCUUGCUAGCUGUUAUUCCUCCAGAACGAGGGCAGCAUUACUAGUUUAUGUGCUGUUGAUUAACAGCUGCGUGAGAUUAGAGCAUCUUUAAAUUUUGGCUCUUUCUUUCACUAUUUUGUCACUCCAAAAUCAUAGACAUGCUCUCUAAUGGGUUAGUCUCUAACUUAAAUGCAGAAAAACUUGGUUGGAAAAUUGUGUAUUAUCACAGCGUUUUGACAAAGCUCCUUUUUUUUAAUUAGGACUUGAUUUCCUACUGGUUACCCCACUGUUGCUUGACUACCAUUACUGCAGCAAAUCUUUCAUUACAGGAGCCAUUUGAUACCUUAGAGCAAAUUGCACAUGCAGAGAAGCUGUCAUGACCCCAUGCAAGAUGGGACUCUGCUGGCUGAGGCCUGCUGCCCACCAGAAAGCCAAGGCAGCCAAGUAUGACAUGGCCACCUCCAGCAGCACCUCUGUGGAUAAUGGCAGGCAGAGCUCACUGAAAGACUCAAGAGCUCUCAUUGGAUUACCUAACCCAGCACACACCUCUGGUACAACUCUGAACUUCCUUCAGGUUUACUAGAGGGUUAUGAAACCUACAGCAACAACCAGAGCUGUUAGAGUACAGUAGGAAGGAUAUCAGAGCAGGGAACGGGGUCAUGGGAUCACUGGGCCCUACGUCCGGACUUCAGAGACAAACAAAUUCUCCUUGGAGUAGUUACUACCAGAUGAACUUUCCCAGAGAGGAAGAAUUAGGAUAAGGAAAAAUAAACAUCAUUAGUGUCUUCUGAGACUGUCCAGAACUUGCAAAGGUCUUUGGGAUAGCAAGCAAGAACAACAUAGCUUUUGAGGCGCCAAAUAGAGAUUUUAACAUUUAUAGCUUCAAAGAAAAAAAAACCAAACAUUUUUCUUCUACCAUUUCAUCUACUUUUUCCCCUGAAUUUGUUGUAAAUUCAUAUUUAUUUCCAACAAGAGAGGUGCAUGUGUGGCAGAUGAGAGGGCCACAUUCAGGAUGUGAUGCACACAAAGCAAUGCCCUGUAAUCAUCACAGCAUCAGGAACAGUGUGUCACCUGACAGUAAUUGCUUAACUUCUUUGAAACCACAGGCUUGGGCCCUGCCAACAGGCACAGGCAGAGAAUGAAGAUGCUAACAGACAGCUGGCAUUGUCACAUGCAUGAGACUGUUGGGGCACAGGAAAGCGCGCCUCAACCAUAUACCUGAGGCCUGAGAUUGAAUGAUGCACCUCAGUCUGAUAUUGGCCUGCUAAACUCGGCUCAGUCUCUCACUGUGGGGGAGUUUAAAAAAAAUCUUCAGCAGCAUGAAAAUAGCAUUUUUGUCCAAAGAAACACAAAAGGCAUUUGCAGCCCUGUCUUGAAAGCUUCAUGCGCUGAAGUAGUCCAGAGGAGAAGGGAUGCUUAGGUCAGUGGCAUCUACCUACAACAUUUAAUGCAAUCAUCACAGAAUGGCCUGGGUUGAAAAGGACCACAAUGAUCAUGUAGUUUCAACCCCCCUGCUAUGUGCAGUGUCACCAACCAGCAGACCAGGCUGCCCAGAGCUACAUCCAGCCUGGCCUUGAAUGCCUCCAGGGAUGAGGCAUCCACAACCUCCUUGGACAACCUGUUCCAGUGUGUGAAAAACUUCCUCCUAAUAUCUAACCUAAACCUCCCCUGUCUCCGUUUAAAACCAUUACCCUUUGUCCUAUCACUACCCUCCUUGUCCUAUCACUACCAUAAGUGAUACAUUGACUUUUUUUCCAUAGAACGCGCCUUAAAAGUUCUCCUAGAAAGCUGAAAGAAGAAAAAUUCUUCUUUCAAAAGAAUGUUAUUUUAGGAGUGGUCGCCUUGGUUAGGGAACAAACGAGAACUUGAGGGAAAGGCUAGGGCAAACUGGGCUGUGUUUGGUGAGCAAGAAAUACUAUUUCUGCAUCAUAAUAAAAUCUCCGACUUGCUCCAUGACCGCCCAUGCUCCAUUAAGAAAGAGACGACAAAGGUAGGAAGCCCUCUCAAUCUGAUUGCGUGUUACUCAUUUCCUCAGGCCCUUCACAGUACAACAAACACCAGUCUGCAUUUGUCCUUGACAGGAAAUGAUGUUUGUCCUUGACAGGCAGUGGAGGAAGGAGGAGGUGGAAGGAGAGGAGGAACAGGUGACCGGAAGGCAUGGGCUUUAGAAGCAUUUGGAGCAGUGGAAAUCUCUGAAAACCA